rnacentral:rRNA from 1 species
CAGUUCGGAUUGUAGUCUGCAACCCGACUACAUGAAGCUGGAAUCGCUAGUAAUCGCAGGUCAGCAUACUGCGGUGAAUACGUUCCCGGGUCUUGUACACACCGCCCGUCACACCAUGGGAGCCGGAAAUGCCCGAAGCCAGUGACCCAACCUUAGGGAGGGAGCUGUCGAAGGUGGAGCCGGUAACUGGGGUGAAGUCGUAACAAGGUACC